GCUGAAUGUAUCAAGGGAACACUAUGGCUAGGGUUUGUUCAUCUUCCAAGCUUCAUAAUCCCGGAAAACAAGAUUUGGACCUAGAACGGGAGAAAAACUGAAAAUCAGGAAAGUUGAUCAAAUGGACGUUUUGGUAUCGAAAGUCUUAUCAAACAAGCUCGGGUUGGAGGUCGUGGAAGAUCGCUUCACACUAUCAACUAUCAAGUUACCAAUUGGGUAUUUUCAUUGACAAACGAUUUAAGUUAUGGCAUGUAUAGGGAAUUAGUAAUUUUGUGUGUAUGUCUUUAUGAAAUGGCUAAUUAGGAGUAUGUUUGAUGUUAUGUAUACCUAAAUGAUAGUUAAUACAAAGAAAUAACAAAAGAGUAAAA